rnacentral:lncRNA from 1 species
AUUGACAAAGACACAUUUCAUUUAAGAAUAAAGCCUUUAUUUUGUCUUCCCACAGUUCAAGUUUGUCAGAACCACCCAAUGACGUGGUGGCAUGUAGAGUGAAUGAGAGAGGUAGACCAUCAGUUCCAUCCACCCAGUCAUCACCUUGUACAGUUCCAUCCACCCUGUACAGUUCCAUCCACCCAGUCAUCACCCUGUACAGUUCCAUCCACCCAGUCAUCCACCCUGUACAGUUCCAUCCACCCAGUCAUCCACCCUGUACAGUUCCAUCCACCCAGUCAUCAGCCUGUACAGUUCCAUCCACCCUGUACAGUUCCAUCCACCCAGUACAGUUCCAUCCACCCAGUCAUCAGCCUGUACAGUUCCAUCCACCCAGUCAUCAGCCUGUACAGUUCCAUCCACCCUGUCAUCAGCCUGUACAGUUCCAUCCACCCACCCAGUCAUCCACCCUGUACAGUUCCAUCCACCCAGUCAUCAGCCUGUACAGUUCCAUCCACCCAGUCAUCACCCUGUACAGUUCCAUCCACCCAGUCAUCACCCUGUACAGUUCCAUCCACCCAGUCAUCCGCCCUGUACAGUUCCAUCCACCGUCAUCCGCCUGUACAGUUCCAUCCACCGUCAUCCGCCUGUACAGUUCCAUCCACCCAGUCAUCCACCCUGUACAGUUCCAUCCACCCUGUACAGUUCCAUCCACCCUGUACAGUUCCAUCCACCCUGUACAGUUCCAUCCACCCAGUCAUCAGCCUGUACAGUUCCAUCCACCCAGUCAUCCACCCUGUACAGUUCCAUCCACCCUGUACAGUUCCAUCCACCCUGUACAGUUCCAUCCACCCAGUCAUCAGCCUGUACAGUUCCAUCCACCCAGUCAUCAGCCUGUACAGUUCCAUCCACCCAGUCAUCAGCCUGUACAGUUCCAUCCACCCAGUCAUCAGCCUGUACAGUUCCAUCCACCCAGUCAUCAGCCUGUACAGUUCCAUCCACCCAGUCAUCAGCCUGUACAGUUCCAUCCACCCAGUCAUCCACCCUGUACAGUUCCAUCCACCCUGUACAGUUCCAUCCACCCUGUACAGUUCCAUCCACCCAGUCAUCAGCCUGUACAGUUCCAUCCACCCAGUCAUCAGCCUGUACAGUUCCAUCCACCCUGUAUUACUCAAUCUUCUCAACACAUAA